rnacentral:rRNA from 1 species
AACUGCAAGCCUUAUUACCCUAAAGGCAACAGAUUCUAUCUGAUCUUAGAAACUAAGCAGGGGCAGCCCUGGUUAGUACUUGAAUGGGAGAAUGCUGUGGGCUGCACUUC